rnacentral:rRNA from 1 species
AGUGAACGCUGGCGGUAGGCCUAACACAUGCAAGUCGAACGGCAGCACAGUAAGAGCUUGCUCUUACGGGUGGCGAGUGGCGGACGGGUGAGAAGUACAUCGGAAUCUACUUUUUCGUGGGGGAUAACGUAGGGAAACUUACGCUAAUACCGCAUACGACCUACGGGUGAAAGCAGGGGAUCUUCGGACCUUGCGCGAUUGAAUGAGCCGAUGUCGGAUUAGCUAGUUGGCGGGGUAAAGGCCCACCAAGGCGACGAUCCGUAGCUGGUCUGAGAGGAUGAUCAGCCACACUGGAACUGAGACACGGUCCAGACUCCUACGGGAGGCAGCAGUGGGGAAUAUUGGACAAUGGGCGCAAGCCUGAUCCAGCCAUACCGCGUGGGUGAAGAAGGCCUUCGGGUUGUAAAGCCCUUUUGUUGGGAAAGAAAAGCAGCAGGUUAAUACCCCGCUGUUCUGACGGUACCCAAAGAAUAAGCACCGGCUAACUUCGUG